rnacentral:snoRNA from 10 species
AAGACUAUAUUUUCAGGGAUCAUUUCUACAGUGCACUACUAGAGAAGUUUCUGUGAACUUGUAGAGCACCGGAAACCAUGAGCAGGAAGUGCAGCGUUCUCUCCUGAGCAUGAAGCCGGCUCUUGGUGUGGCUUCGCUGCAACUGCCAUUGGCCAUUGAUGAUCGUUCUUCUCUUCUCUGGGAGAGUAAGAGAGAGAGGACACAGUCUGAGUGG